GAGAAAACUCAUGCAGCAAGUCUUUCUGGAUCUGUAUCAAAUUGCAGCUAUAACUCAGCUGAGGAUUCCACUGGAAGGGGAAAUUUCUCUCAUGCAUCAGUGAUGGGAGCCCGAUUCAAGAACUGGAAGAACUGGCUAAGGUGCAAGAACUGGAAGAGGCAUUGGAGGAUACGAUUCAAGACAUUGAACAUGCAAAGAUUCCAAACAACGAAACACUUCCAGAUAUCGAAAAGGAAUAUGAAAGCAAGUUAUCUGCUAAAGAGGAAGAAAUUUCAAGUUUGAAAGCAAGGUUGUUUGAAUCUGUCACAGAAACCUGUAAUGUGGAGACUGUGUCCAGAAAUGUAGGUGACGCAGAUCUUUUGAAACAAAUCGAAGUACUGAAAGAGAAAGUUGAGGAACUUGAGAUGGACUGUACUGAGCUGACAAAUGAAAACCUUGAGCUUUUAUUCAAGCUAAAAGAAGCAAAGACAGCUUCAAAAGAUGGAGGUGCAUCUGAAGAACUUUUGUCAAACAUGCUCAAAGAUCAAUCUUUUUCUAGCUUUGAAUCUGAAGUCAGCAGCAAUUUAUUUCGAAUAUUUCAUUCAGAAGACAUGCUCCAGGAGAAAAACGCUGAGAAGAUUAGUAAUGAUAGUCAUACUUCAAUUCGAGACCUCCAAAUCACCACUAGUAGAAGUGAGAUUCAAUUAUCUGAAUAAUCAUCUAACUAAUAAAACAUCUGAUAUGGCUAGUGAUGAGGCUGACGCAUCAAGUAAAGAAAAGGAGAUUGGGGUUCUAAAGAAGCUCCUGAGCAAGUUGAAAGCCAAGGUUUAUCAUCUUGAACAAGAGAAAAUUCUACUAGAGGAACACAUGGAUGACAGGAUGAAAGAAAGAACGCAUGAAAUGAUGCUCCACAUAUCAGAUAUAGAACAUGAAAAUGGAAAGCUGUCAAUGCGUGUUUCUGUUUUAGAAGAUGAAGUGAGAGAUUUGACAAACGAACAAGAGUCCCAAUUAUCAGAGCUAGAGAAUGAUAGAAAUCAAGCUGCAAGGCUCCGAGAGAAGAUUAUGGAGAUGCAGUAUGAGAUGGAUUCUUCCAUAGAAGAUUUGAAACAAAAACUGAAGACGACACAAUUUCAUUGGUCAGAAGCACAAGAAGAAUCUGAAUAAUCUUAGAGGAGAAAAUCAGCAGCUACAAAUUACCAUUGAAAAUCCUGAAGACGAGUGCAAUUCAUUUGAGAAUCUAAAUGGAUAUUUGAGGCAGCAGAAGUUGGAGUUAGAGGACAAUUGCUCCCUUAUGGGAGCCAGGUUGAGGGAAUCAAGUGAAAGGUUUGCUGAUUGCUGUGGAAGAGUGGGAUUCCUAGAAAAGAAAUUUUCUCUAAUGCUGGAAGAUAUUGCAUUAAAAGAGAAGGAUUUAACUUCAGAUAUGGAUGGUAUUUUGGAUGAGAAUAAAAAACAUAUGGAGCAGGGCCAAAACUUAUUGAAUGAGUUACAAAUGGAGAAGAUGGUAGACAUUCAGAACCUUAAACUAGAAAUAGAGAACCUCAGCCUGAAAUUUUCAGCAGCCUAUGAUGAAAAAGAGAGAAUAGCUUCCAAUGCUUUGCUUGAAGUAUCUGAAUUACGUGCUGAAAAAGACAAACUGGAAUAUGCUUUUGGAGAAGCUCAAUCUAAAGUGAUUUUGUUUAAAACUGAGGUCAAAACGAUGCAGACUCAAUAUGAACAAAAGUUGAAAGAGCAAACAACUGAGCUUGCUGAUUUCAAAACUAAAAUGGAAAUGCAGAUAGCUGAACAUGAAAAAUUGGCAAAACUGGUGGAGGACUACAAAUCAAGAGAACUGAAAUUCAAAAGCACUAUAAAUGCCCUUGAGUCAAAACUUACAGUCACUGCAUAUAAAAGACAUAAAGACCUGGAUGAAUCCGGAAAUUUAAAGGUUUCAGUUGCAGCAGACACGUCAAUCUGAAAAUGAGAUAAUGGCUCUAAAUAGUGAGCUCAACGCUUCCAAUACAGAGAAAGAGCGACUGGAAGCCUCAUUAUGCUUGACAUCUGAACUAUGUGAAGAUCUGAAGGCAGAGAAUACAUCAUUGGAACGAAAGGUAUCAAGCUUGGAGACGGCUGCAUCAUUAUUGGAGCACUGCAAGAGAACUAGAGCAUCCAUUGAAGAAAGGAUUAUGCAGUUGGAGAACGACUUGAAGGCAAGAGAAACAAGAUGUGCUCAUCAUGAUACUGAGCUCAAUAACAUCAAAAGAAUAAAUAGCCAGCUUCAACAGACCAUACAACAACUUGAACAGGAAAAGGCUGAAUUUCAGAGAAAAGUUCAGGCCUUUGAAGAAGAAUUGAAACUGUUUAAGGAACAAAAGCGAAAUCAAGUUUCAAAGUUAAACAGGAAAAUUAUUCACGAUGAUCAGAAGACUUCAAAAAAUUCUAUGGUUAAGAAUACCAAUCAAGUACGCAGUAAUAGGAAAAAGCCAUAAUUAAAGAAUGACAGAGAAAUCCUGAAAGAUCAACAUGACCCUUAUUACAGCAGCAAUCAUCAGAAUUAGGUGAAAGUAAACAUGGACUUCUUGAUGACAAUGUUCAUACGGUUGAAUUAGAACCAAUAUCGAAGACUCAAUUGCUUGCGACUGAACUAGAAAAGUCAGAAGAAGCCAAGAACAUAUAUGAAGUUCAACUUAACAAGUCGGAGAAACACAUUAUGCAUCCAUUCUAGUAAAAACGAAAAGCUUUUAGUAUAUUUGUAUGGUUCCUUAUUCUGUUGUUUGUUUGGAGCUUUUUUUAUUUAGAACUUUGCAGCAGAAUCAACAAUAAAAAAUAAACAAAUGAACAAAAAUGGUUAUUUUAGUUGUUGACGGAAUAAAGAGAAAAAAAAGUGAAGUAAUUAAAAGUGGAAAAAAGAAGAACAAUGAUGUAUUGGUGUUCUCCUUCUUCCCCUGAUGUCCAAGACCUGUCUACCAAAUAAUGUCUUGUUUCUUGAUAUAGGAGAUCAAGCCUUGUAUUUAUAAAAAUUCAACCAUAGGAAUCUCAAAUUAUGAGCCUAGAAAUUAUGGCCUACAUUGUUAUGCACUUGGACCAAAAUUGUGUCCUAAGCCUAUUACAAAUUGAUCACAAUAUUAAUAGGUCUAACUAUCAUCAAAUAGAUCAUAACAUUAGCCCAUUUUAAGAGUACCAUUGAUUGUAAGCACAAUAAUAUUAAAAUAAAAAAUAAAAAUUUAACAUCUGGUAUAUUUAACUCCAGAAGAUAGGUACACUGUUCGAAGAAGUUGUUACUCUUCUUCUAACUGUUGGAAGCAAAUUUUAAAACAGAAAGGUAUAUCCUUAUUAUACUUUUGCUUUAGGUCGACCUAUAAAUCAGGAUUGCUGGAAUUUGAAUCAGGUAUAGCCUGUUUAAGUCAUUUGUAUUAUGCCUUUGGUUUUAGGUCAUGCCUUAUUGUUCUAUUAAGUCAUUUGUGCAAUAAUAUUCCUUGUAUUAUUAUACUGCAGAUUGUCACCUCAAGGCCGAAACAGCCGGGCAGAAGGCCCAGUAAAAUUAAUAGCUGAAGAAGAACUAGUGACAAAAGAAAAGUUUGAACGUACAAAAUCAAUGCUAGAGGAAGAGUUAAGAGAUAUUCAGGAUCACUACUUCCACAUGAGCCUUAAAUAUGCAGAGGUAGAAUCUGAGCGUGAAGAACUUGUAAUGAAGCUCAAGGUGGCUAAGAGCAAAAAAGGAUGGCUCUCAUAGAACUACGACCAUCAUUUUUUAUGCUGACAAUCUCAGGCUCCAUCUAUCACGAAUUUGAAGUGCCAGAGUUUUCAAUCUGAUAUAGAAGAUAGUAUACAUUGUCGGAAAGUAAUAAAGAAACCAUAAUGGUCAUUGUAAAUAUCAGAAAUUUUGAAGGUAGAAAUUAACACAGAAAGUGAUAUUGUGAAUUGUCUUGCGGUCAAUACUAGGACUUUUAUGUACACUUUUCUUUGGUAUUCCUCCAUGAGUGGACCUAUUACAUAGUUUCAAUUUUCAAA